GUCCCGUCUUGCCUUGAAGUUAAGUUUCCUCUCCUUCACUGUUCAACCGCCAAGGACCUCUCUUCUACUUCCUUUGCCAUCCCAACCAUCCAGAAUGGAAGGUGAAAUGAAGACCAUGUUUGGCAUGAGAAGAGGUGGUGGGAAAAAGCUGAGAGAGUAUGCUUAGAAUGCAAGCAGCAGAUGCUUAAAAUGCAAGAACAACCCCAAAACAACUUCAAAUCGUUAG